AAACUAUCCAGUAAAAUCAAAAAAUUCUCUAUCAACGAACUGUCAAUUUUAUUGCUCUCUUACUCUCUCGUUGCAAGGUUUCAAAAGUGCGCGAACGGAAUCCAGGGACAAUUGUUUGCAAAUUGUUACAAAUUAUCGAGUACGCGAACGAACCUAAUGUUUCACAUUGCGAUCAGCUGACUUUGUUUUGUAAAUAAACAUAAGGGGAGGAGAUAUACCUAUGCAUAUCCCACAAAAACAUUUAUUUUGCAAAAUCAAAUGUUUUCAUUGAGUUAAAAUGGAAAAAUCCUUUAAAGAUGAAACUAAUUUAAUCAAUUUCUCAUUUUGUGACUACAAAUCGUUAUUUGAAGCAUUACUUGUUAGUCGAGAUCAACGUAUGACCAUAAUAGAAGAUCGAGUAGAUUUCUGGAAAUUUGUCAACAAAUAUGAAACAAUGCUCAAGAAUGUGGGUCAGCCAAUAUUGGCUUCUCCCUUAGAAGAAGAAAAAUAUAGUGAAAGUACACCCAGUCACAAAUUGAAAUGUAUAUGUUUGCAUUUAAAUGAUGAAGGUAAAGCGAAUAAGGCCACUUUGGAACACCGCCACUAUUCAGGAGAAUCUCAAGUGAAUCCGUUAAGAAUAAAACAAUUUCAAGAAAUUAUUGUUAUAUAUUUGGAUUUUAAACAAAAAGAAAGAUUUGCUAAAAUAAAAAAGUUAAGAAAGAGUCAAAAAUCUCUACCAAUAUGGAAAUUUAAAAAAUCGCUACGCAGCUCGCUGGAGGAAACACGAGUUCUAAUAAUUGCCGGUGACACUGGAUGUGGUAAAUCGACUCAAGUGCCUCAAUAUUUAUAUCAAUUUGGAUAUAAAAGUAUUGCGUGUACACAACCAAGGCGUCUAGCUUGUGUUUCUCUAUCGAAACGAGUUGCUCACGAAAUGUUAGAGGACUAUGGUUCUAGGGUUGGAUUCCAAAUAAGAUUUGAAAAAAAUAAAACCAUGCAUACCAAUAUCCUUUUUAUCACAGAAGGUUUACUCCUUAGACAGCUUGCUCUUGAAACUAAUCUCGAUCAAUAUGAUGUUUUAAUACUGGACGAAAUUCAUGAAAGAAAUCUCUUUGGCGACUUCCUGUUAGGAGUAACUAAAUGCCUUUUGCGUGCUAAACCCGACUUAAAGCUAAUUCUUAUGUCGGCUACUAUAAAUGUUGAAUUAUUUCAUAAUUACUUCCAAGAAGAAGGUGCAAAACUAUUACAAGUUCCAGGAAGACUAUAUCCCAUCAAAACGUUAUUUAUGCCACCGCCGGCUCUAGAACUGCAAGGCAAAGGUUCAUCACGUUCACAACAAACCUCCAGUCGAUUAGAUCCAGCACCAUUCGUUCAAGUACUCAAUUUAAUUGAUCAAAAAUACUUACCAAAUGAACGCGGUGAUGUUUUAAUAUUUGUCAGUGGAGUAAAUGAAAUCACUACAGUUUGUGAUGCAGCAAAAGAAUAUGCAGAGCAACAAUCACAUUGGGUUAUUUUACCUCUACACAGUGGUCUGUCUUUAGCUGAUCAAGAUAAAGUAUUUGACUAUGCUCCUGAGGGAAUGCGUAAAUGUAUAGUAUCGACAAAUAUUGCUGAAACAUCGUUAACCGUAGAUGGUAUACGAUUUGUCAUAGAUUCUGGAAAAGUUAAAGAAAUGUCUUAUGAUGCAUCCUGUAAAGGUCAAAGACUUAAAGAAUUUUGGGUAUCAAAAUCAUCCGCUGAACAGCGAAAAGGACGUGCUGGACGUACAGGGCCAGGAACCUGCUUUCGUUUGUUUUCGGAAAAACAAUAUGCUGCAUUUGAGGCAUAUCCCACACCUGAAAUACUUCGUGUGCCACUUGAUACCAUACUGCUGCAAAUGAUAUCAAUGGGUUUACCAAAUGUUCGACAAUUUCCUUUUAUAGAAUCUCCCGAAGAGGAAAACAUUGAACAAACUAUAUUGGGUUUAAAACAACAUAAUGCUUUGACUCCUGAUGAAAAAAUAACAGCUUUGGGAAAAUCUCUUUCAAAUUUACCUGUUGAAAUUUCUAUUGGAAAAAUGUUAUUAAUGGGAUGCGUGUUUCCAGAUAUAGAAAAGAUAUUAACUUUGGCAGCAGUUAUGAGUGUUCAAAAUCCAUUUACUAAUCGUGCCUAUACUGACCCCAGAUGUGAAGAAGCUCGUUCCGAAUUAGAAUCGGAUCAGGGAGAUGUUUUUACCCUAAUGCGCGCCUAUCAUGAAUGGUUACAAAUCAAAUGGGAACGAGAAAAUUCUCGCAAAUGGUGCCAUAAAUUAAGUAUAGAAGAACAAAGAUUUUAUGAAAUUACCAAACUGCGAAACCAAUUCCAAAAUAUUCUGGAGUCUUGUAAUAUGACUACAAGUAAAGCAACUGAAGAGCUCUCUAGAUCGGAGAGAGCCCGACGCCAUGGUGAAGUGCGUAUGUUAAAAGCUAUCAAGCGCAAACAGAAAUAUCAAGAACCACGAAAACGUAAACUAUUAAAACAUCAUGCUGGUGAUGAUGGCGAAGAUGAUUUUGAAAAUGCUGCAGAUGAUAUACGUGAUGUAGACUUUCGUCUCUAUAACGAUAGUGCAAAACUUGAGCUUUUACUUAACUCAUCUAAAACGGAUAAAUUGCGCGAUGUUCUUUUAUUAAAACUUAUUAUAGUUAGUGGCUUUUAUCCCCAAAUAGCUAUUUCUGAUGAAUUUAAUUACUGCAAGGGUGGAACUCAGCAAUUUUUUCAUACUUUUUUAAAGCCUUUCGUAUCGAUACAUCCCAAUUCAUAUUUUGCUAAAGCUUUUGAUAUUCUAAAAUUGAAUGAUAGUGAUAUUUUAGAUAAACCUGCGUAUUAUACACCCAAACAAGUAUUAAGUGAAAGGCAUCAAGUUUUAUGUUAUCAAAAUUUAUUAGAGACAGCCAAACCCUACUUGAUGAAUUGCAUUCGCAUGCCUGCUGCCCAAUGUUUGCUUUUAUUUUCUUACAGUAUAGAUACGAAUGCUUGCAUUACCCGUUUAAUCUGUGACUCUUGGUUGUGUUUAGAAUUUCCCACACCGGAAGCAGGCUGUGAAUUAUUACAAAGGGCAAUGAAACUGCGUAGAUUAUGGAAUAAACUUUUAAUGGAUAAAUUAACUGACUUAGAACUAAAUGUUGAAAACCAGUUAAAUCGAAAGUCGUCAUCUAACACAAAGGCAUAUACUGAAGAAGAUUUGUGGCAUAAAUUAAUUGAGUUUAUGAGUGCCAAUGUUCCCUAUACCAUUAAACGUCUACUAACGGCAGAUUUAAAAAAUAUAUACAACCAUGAAAUUUCAGCAGAUAUGGAGAAAAAAUUUAAAACUAAUCCAUUUGAUAACGAUUAUAAAAUAACAACAAAUUUGGAAAAAGGCGGUAUAAAUAUUUCCGAAAAUGUAGUUUAUAAUUGCUUGAAGGAACAGCAAUGGUGUCUAAAUAUGGAUUUAGAUUUGAGUGCACAUAUGUGGACCUGUAACUAUUGUGACUGUGAAAUGGAGUUUAAUGUUAUUGAAAAAUUAUUGCAUAAAACAAAUUGUACAAAGCGUCAAAGAUAUUAUCAAAAAAACGGUGAUGAAACAUUGUCAACAUCAUCCCAUAACAACUGCAGCGGUAACAGCAGUAAGAAUAAUAUAAAAUAUAAGUGUCCCAUGUGUUGCAAAGAAUUAUUCUUAAGCCAAAUUGAUAUUUUAAAACAUAAGAAAUCUUGCAAAUAAUAAUUAUAAUAUAAUCCUAAUAUAAUGCACAUCUUUACAACGAUGACAGUAAGUACAUGAUUAUAAACUGCUUUUCAAAAUGUCUACUAGUUAAAAUACAAAUUAGAAACAUAUUGAUUUUCACGAUGUGUUUUUAGAUUAUGAAUGUCUGUUCGAAAAUGCAUCACUACACAUGAUUGUUGUUUGUGAUGCUCAUGCAAAUAAACUGAUUCAAUUUACAAAUAACUAAAUUAAUAUAAAGUUCGUGAAACAAAUUGAUGUCUAAAUACCAAUUCCUGUAUCGUAUCAGACAGAGUUAUGCCGCAUUUUACGCAUUAAGUAUUUUUUCAUUAAUUUCCGAAUGUGUUGCGCAUUUUCGAACAGGUGGUUUGUUAUGCACAAAAAUAGUCUAGAGACAGCUUACCGGAAAAUAUAUCUUUGGAAAGUAUCUUUGAUGUAACCAACAUGUUUAUGAGUUUUAGGACCAUUGUUAUAACUUGGCAAUAACUAAAGCCCGCAUACAAAAAAUAGCUGUCACUCCGAUGCCGGACAUUCCCGAACGUGAUGGCGAAACAUUCUAAAAUAGUAGAACAUAACUAACGUACACCACCAUAUGAGAGCGUCAAAUAUCAUUUAAAAUAAAAUUCAUA
rnacentral:misc_RNA from 1 species